CUGAUGCUUGCUGAUGUUUACGUUUGAUCGAGGUGUUUUUUUAUAUGAUCGUGAUAUAUUGUUUAAUUGUGGGUCGGACGGGUGUAGAUGUGUGAAAUGUGGUGAUGUUAUGUGAUGUGUUAUGAAUGAGGGUAUACCCAUACAUGCGUGGGUUGUGUGUGAUGUGGGUGGAUGAAGGCCUAUUUAGGGAAGACAAUAAAUUAGUCGGAUAAAAGUCGGCUCAGGCGAUAUCUAUCUGAAUAUCUAUCGGUCGGGUCCACACGGCUGCACUCGAUACUCGCAAAAGCCAGUGCCAGAAAUCGAAGCCAAACGUCGCCAUUUUAAAGUUCGUCCCACUUGGAUUUUUCGCAAAAGAAAAAACGCAACGCUUUGAGGAAGGAGCAUAUAAUUUGUGUCAUUUAUAGCAAAAAAUUGGAAUUGGAAAUUACAACAAGAUGUCGAACCCAGAACGUAUUAUUUUGAAAGUAUUCACUCAUAAUGUUGAGCUUGGUCAUAUCAUUACUGACAAAACUACCGAGUUCUCCCAACUUCUUCCAACAAAUGUCCCCAUGGAUGGCAUGCGCUUCAUCUACAAUGGGCAUAUCAUCAAGGCAGCGGACACACCCGGGGGGCUGGGUAUGCAAAACGGCCAAGUCAUCAACGUAGAGAUGACUGAUCCAGCAAAUGUUCCUACUCCGGAGUAAGCGUGUCAUACCCAACACAAUAAACCACUUUAUAGACGAAAGAACUUUGCGAAAGAAAUAAAAUAAAGGUUAAACUUUCAUCUAUUGAUGAAAAAAGGCCGAAAAAAGCUGCUCCCGUCCGAAUAUCGGUCCGGAGAAUGCAAUAAAAAAACUUA